rnacentral:hammerhead_ribozyme from 1 species
AUCCAGAUGAUGAAUCCCAAAUAGGACGAAAUGCACGUCAUGAAU